rnacentral:rRNA from 1 species
UAAAAGCCUACCAAGCCUAAGAUCCUUAGCUGUUCUGAGAGGUUGAACAGCCACACUGGGACUGAGACAAGGCCCAGGCUCCAUUUGGAGCCAGCAGUGAGGAAUUUUGGACAAUGAGCGAAAGCUUGAUCCAGCAAUACUACACGAGUGAAGAAGGCUUUCAAGUUGUAACACUCUUUGGUUGAGGAGGAUAAUGACAGUACUCAACAAAAUAGCCCCGGCUAACUUCGUGCCAGCAGCCGCGGUAAGACGAAGGGGGCGAGCGUUAUCCGGAAUGACUGGGCGUAAAGGGUCCGUAGGCAGCAUUUUUUGUUGGAAGUUAAAUAAAAAAGCUUAACUUUUUUCCGCUUCUAAAACGUAAAUGCUUUGAGUUUGAUAGAAGAUAGCAGAAUUUCACAAGGAGGGGUGAUAUCCAGAGAUCUGUGAAGGAAUAUCAGAUGCGAAGGCGGCUAUCUAGAUCAACACUGACGUUGAGGGACGAAAGCAUGGGGAGCAAACAGGAUUAGAUACCCUGGUAGUCCAUGCCCUAAAAGAUGAGUGUUCGUGCUUAGAGAACUUUAGGCACUUAGUUAACACGUUAAACACUCCGCCUGGGGAGUACGAUCGCAAGGUUGGAACUCAAAGGAAUUGACGGGGGCCUAUACAAGUGGUGGAGCAUGUGGUUUAAUGCGAUAAUACGCGCGAAACCUUACCAGUUCUUGACAUAAAAAAGAAAAAGUUUGAAAAAGCAAUUUUAAAGAUUUUUACAGGUGCUGCAUGGCUGUCGUAAGCUCGUGUCGUGAGAUGUUAGGUUAACUCCUUUUAACGGGCGAAACCCCUUUUUUUCGUUGCUACUCAAUUUUAUUUUUAAAGCACUCUAAAAAAACUGCUCCCUUUUUUUUAAUUCGGAGAGGAAGGUGGGGAUGACGUCAAGUCCUUAUGGCCCUUAUGAACUGGGCUACACACGUGCUACAAUGGUAAAGACAAUAAGAAGUGAUAGGGUAACCUAAAACCAAUCUUUAAACUUUAUCAAAGUUCGGAUUGUGGACUGCAACUCGUCCAUAUGAAGGUGGAAUCACUAGUAAUCGCACAUCAGCAUGUUGCGGUGAAUUUGUACCUAGGCCUUGUACACACCGCCCGUCACGUGCCGGGAGUUGGC